GCGGCAUGCCUAUACAUGCAAGUCGAACGAGCUUCCGUUGAAUGACGUGCUUGCACUGAUUUCAACAAUGAAGCGAGUGGCGAACUGGUGAGUAACACGUGGGAAAUCUGCCCAGAAGCAGGGGAUAACACUUGGAAACAGGUGCUAAUACCGUAUAACAACAAAAUCCGCAUGGAUUUUGUUUGAAAGGUGGCUUCGGCUAUCACUUCUGGAUGAUCCCGCGGCGUAUUAGUUAGUUGGUGAGGUAAAGGCCCACCAAGACGAUGAUACGUAGCCGACCUGAGAGGGUAAUCGGCCACAUUGGGACUGAGACACGGCCCAAACUCCUACGGGAGGCAGCAGUAGGGAAUCUUCCACAAUGGACGAAAGUCUGAUGGAGCAAUGCCGCGUGAGUGAAGAAGGGUUUCGGCUCGUAAAACUCUGUUGUUAAAGAAGAACACCUUUGAGAGUAACUGUUCAAGGGUUGACGGUAUUUAACCAGAAAGCCACGGCUAACUACGUGCCAGCAGCCGCGGUAAUA
rnacentral:rRNA from 2 species